rnacentral:rRNA from 1 species
GGUGAACGCUGGCGGCGUGCCUAAGACAUGCAAGUCGAGCGGGGCAGGUUUUACCUGUUCAGCGGCGGACGGGUGAGUAACGCGUGGGUGACCUACCCGGAAGAGGCGGACAACCUGGGGAAACCCAGGCUAAUCCGCCAUGUGGUCCUGUCCUGUGGGGCAGGACUAAAGGGUGGAUAGCCCGCUUCCGGAUGGGCCCGCGUCCCAUCAGCUAGUUGGUGGGGUAAAGGCCCACCAAGGCGACGACGGGUAGCCGGUCUGAGAGGAUGGCCGGCCACAGGGGCACUGAGACACGGGCGCCACUCCUACGGGAGGCAGCAGUGAGGAAUCGUCCGCAAUGGACGGAAGUCUGACGGAGCGACGCCGCUUGGAGGAGGAAGCCCUUCGGGGUGUAAACUCCUGAACUGGGGACGAAAGCCCUGUGUAGGGGGAUGACGGUACCCAGGUAAUAGCGCCGGCCAACUCCGUG